rnacentral:rRNA from 1 species
GACGUAGGGCGCGAGCGUUGUCCGGAUUUAUUGGGCGUAAAGAGCUCGUAGGCGGCUUGUCGCGUCGACUGUGAAAACCCGUGGCUCAACCAUGUGGUCUGCAGUCGAUACGGGCAGGCUAGAAUUCGGUAGGGGAGACUGGAAUUCCUGGUGUAGCGGUGGAAUGCGCAGAUAUCAGGAGGAACACCAAUGGCGAAGGCAGAUCUCUGGGCCGUAACUGACGCUGAGGAGCGAAAGCAUGGGGAGCGAACAGG